rnacentral:rRNA from 1 species
AACGUAGGUGGCGAGCGUUAUCCGGAUUUACUGGGCGUAAAGGGUGUGCAGGCGGGCUGUUAAGUGGUGUAUGAAAUAUCCCGGCUCAACCGGGAAGGGUUAUGCCAGACUGGCAGUCUAGAGAGCGAGAGAGGGACGUGGAAUUCCGGGUGUAGUGGUGAAAUGCGUAGAGAUCCGGAGGAACCCCAGAGGCGAAGGCGGCGUCCUGGCUCGCAUCUGACGCUCAGACACGACAGCAUGGGAGCGAACGGG